UUCUGUAAAUCACCCAGCCAGAAAAAUGUCCUAACUAUUAAAGAAGGAAAAGUGAAAUGUGAGUGUUCAUCUAGUGGCUCUCCUGCAUACAUAUGUUUUCUUCCUGGGUACCUUGUUUGUAAAUGCCGCUAAGAAUGGCACAUGGAUGACUGUAAAACUGCUUACUACAAAUGUCCGUGGUGUAAUUUGAAGGCAUGCCGUUUUGUACAAAGUAUUCCCCAAAGACAUGAUCCUCUGACCCUUGGAAGUUUUUCCUGUUUUAAUGUUUGCUUUUUUUAUCUGUGAGUAUUUGGCUCUGUUUCUUUCCAUACACUUUGGCAUGGUCUCUGUUAGAAUAACAUGGAGUUUAUGCUUAGCUUGAGGUCACACUGACUAUCAAACUGCAAAUCAACGGGGCAAGCAAAAUAGCUGUUCAGCCCUGCUUUCCAGAGAAGAGCAGCAAGAGCAGAAACUUCAUGUUCCAUGGGCAGCAAAUAGGGACAUGGAUGAAUCUGGAGAACAUUAUCCUCAGCAAACUGACACAAGAACAGAAAAUGAAACACCACAUAUUCUCACUCAUAGCUUGUGGAGCAUGUCCAACACACCUUGCAUACGGAAUGACAACAUCUUAUACAGGGUAGCAGCAAGGGAGUGGACCUGUACGCGGGAGAUAACUAAGGCAAGUAAAUGAUAAACAUGGUGAUAGAACUGUCAUUACUUUCCUCAAAUGGAAGAUAAAUCUAUAAGUGCAAAUGUCAUAUGUUGAAUAAGUGAACAAUCAUUCUGUCAUCUAUCACUGCCAAUGCUUUCCAGCUUAUCUGGAUUUUAUUACAGCUGAAUCCAUCUUAUAAGUUAUAUAGCAGUUUCUUAAAGAUGAAAU